CAGUGGCGAAGUAAAAGAGAGAAAAUGGCUUUUAAAAACUUAGUGACCUCAUUGCCCUAUCACUCACAAAUAGUUAAAUUAAGUGCACAUUCGUUCUGAAGAUCUCGGUUGUUGGUGAUGGAUGUAGUCAGCUUGAGAACGAGGGGUUUCCUUGACUUGGAGCCAAGUCAUCAUGGUUCCACAAACCCUGGCCUGGGAAAGCCAUCUAAAGCAUGCCGGUGACUGACUGUGAGGAUGGGCUAGCUGUCCAGAGAGGUGUAACUGGGCCAGUGAGGUUUCAUAGACCCAGCAAACGUUGCGGGCUGUUGCCGUUGUUUCUGGCCAUCCUCCAGAAGCUGACAGGGAGAGCCUACUGCUGAAGAGUCCUCAACCUUGAGACACAGAAUAUAAAGAGAUCAGGCUGUAACUAUCCAAAAAGCUUCGUGCAAACUGGCUAGCCUUCAAAGUGCUGGAAGGCCCCAUGCAGGCUACAGGAGGAGAAAAACCAGCAUCAAGUAUACCCGGCUGUCACCUCGACAGGCUACAAGAACGCCAGGCCCACUGACGUCACCGCAGUUCGAGUGUCCUAAGAGUAAUCAACCUCUUCCUGAUUGGAUGUCUCUCCUACUCCGAAAGAUAAAGCCCAUACCAGGCACGGACACUGACCAAAGCCCACGGCCAGACAGGUCACAGGCCCUAGGCGAGGACAUAGAACCGUUAAACGCUGCUAAGCACACACAGUAGUCGACUGACUUCUAACGGUUCUCGUUGUAACGUGGAUCCGUGCAUCUCAGCCCUCCCCUGACGAGCUUGUGUUUGCAGUACGUGUUGCUUACCCCGGGGAUCCACCCUGUACCAAGCGCAGACGCUGCAGAACGCUUAGCCCUCGCAGAGCGGAAACACACCGUCUUCCCAAAACCGAAGCGUCGCUGCGGGAAAGGGGGCAGAAAGAGUGGAGGAGCCAGAAACAGCAGAUGACUACAAAGGAGACAAUGUUCUCAGAACACAGCAGGACAGCUGCACAUAUGAAAUCACGCUGAUCGUGACCGUGGGCACGAGACCAGUGGAAGUCCACGCUGGGCCAAAUCCCAGCACGGAAAGAAGAAGGCAACACCAGGUCACCGCUGUGUAAAAAACUAUGUGUGACAACGUUAGUCGCUGGGAGAGGAGGGCGUCAAUUUCCUCUAAGAAUAUAGCCACUGGUGAUUCAAUCACGUGCCGGUGGAAGGCCACACAUCCGAGGGUAUUUGGUCAGCACAAA